ACCUUGGCUCCUCUUGUACAUCUAGGACAGUGCCAAGUCCUUCAGCCGCUCCCCAUCCUGGAGGAAGAUGUUCCGCGAGAAGGACCUCCGGGGUGUAACCCCCGAUUCAGCCGAGAUGUUACCCCCCAACUUUCGCUCAGCUGCCGCAGGAGCCCUAGGCUCUCCCGGGCUUCCUCUCCGCAAACUGCAGCCUGAAGGCCAGACUUCUGGGAGUUCGCGAGCAGAUGGUGUUUCGGUCCGGACUUACUCCUGCUAGUGUGCACCUCCAGAGCAUUGUCUAGCAGGAGACCGCCGUGAGGGAGCUCGCCCUACGGACUGCACCACCUAUACAUACCAGCCGGGUGUGCGUGUUCCCGCCUCCCAAAUGGACUGGGCCUGGACCAAACCAUAAGAAAUGGACUGAAAGGGGGCAGCCGAAGAAGAGGACAGGAAGAAAUCCCACCCCAAACUUCCGUCUCCCUUUUCUCAACUUUGUAAUUUAUUGAUGAUCCGUUUCGAAUGGGAGUCAGGCGCCCUGCACCUGCGGAAAGGGGGCGGGGCUUCCCUCUCGGGCCGCAUGCGGGGAGAUGCCACCCCUCCCCUUUCUAUUGCCCAGUCGCGGGGCCCAAGUCUUCCUUCUCCGUCCGCUAGGAGGGGAGGGGAGACUCGCUGCUACAAGCCUCGCCCCAUUCCCCAGCCCCGUGCCACUCAGUCCUGCCCCGCUGCGUCUUGUCGCCAGUCCUCCGGGUCAUCUGCAAGCGGGGUUCCCUGACCCUCCCCCCUGUCUCGUGUUCCCCGGGGCCUCCCCGCCCCCGUGCUAUGGCGGUGUCUGUGCCCAAGGGUCAGGGACGCAGCACUGCGUUCCCAUUUCCCCUCUGGCUCCGGGGUUUGCAUGGGAAAAUCCCUCUGUCAACUAUGCCGCUGGCGAUGUGGCUGGGGAGAGGACGGACAAUGGGGGAGCCCCCACCCCGACUCGGCCUCUUGGCUCCAGGCGUUACUCAGUGAUCACGGGUAAAGACCUACUGUUUCAAAAGCUCUGGUGGUGACCAGCCUUUUUUUGAGACAGGGUCUCACUUUGUAGUCCUGGCUGGCCUGGAACUCAAUGUAGACUAGGCUAGCCUCGAAUUUACAGAGAUCCGCCUGCCUCUGACUCUGCACUGAGAUUAAAGGUGUGUGCCACC
rnacentral:lncRNA from 1 species